AUGUUCUCUGUAGCUCUGCUGCUGCUGGCUGCUGGAUCCUGUGUGAACAGUCUUGAUCUCAUCCAGACAGACUCAAUGGUUGUGCAGCCUGGACAGUCUUUGUCCAUCACCUGUCGGAUCUCUGGUUAUUCUUUGACUGAUGACAGCUAUGCAACAGGUUGGAUCAGACAGUGUGAAAGAAAACCAAUGGACUGGAUUUCCCAUCAGUGGGGAACAAGCGGCCUUCGUCAAAAUAAUGCUCUGAAGAACAAGUUCAGCUUCAGCAGAGACACCUCUGCUCAAACAGUGACUCUAAAAGGACAGAAUCUGCAGCCUGAGGACACAGCUGUGUAUUACUGUGUACGUCAGCACCACAGUGAUACACACCACCAUCAGACCUGCACAAAUACUCAGCCCCCAUGUGACUCAACCACACACACAUGUUGUUAA